rnacentral:rRNA from 1 species
AAAACCUAUCUCAGUUCGGAUUGUAGGCUGCAACUCGCCUACAUGAAGCUGGAGUUGCUAGUAAUCGCGAAUCAGAAUGUCGCGGUGAAUACGUUCCCGGGCCUUGUACACACCGCCCGUCACACCCUGAGAGCUGGUAACACCCGAAGUCCGUGAGGUAACCGUAAGGAGCCAGCGGCCGAAGGUGGGAUUAGUGAUUGGGGUGAAGUCGUAACAAGGUAGCCGUAGGAGAACCUGCGGCUGGAUCACCUCCU